rnacentral:rRNA from 1 species
UACGGAGGGUGCAAGCGUUAAUCGGAAUUACUGGGCGUAAAGCGCACGUAGGUGGCGUGAUAAGCUGGGUGUGAAAAACCGGGGCUCAACCUCGGCCGUGCAUUCAGAACUGUCAUGCUAGAGUAAGGGAGAGGGGGGUAGAAUUUCAGGUGUAGCGGUGAAAUGCGUAGAGAUCUGAAGGAAUACCGGUGGCGAAGGCG